AUUUUGUAUUUGCAGAACGAGAAAGUCGAAAAUAUAUAUACAUAUAUAUAGAGCAAGAAAAUUGAAAACUUGGAGAAGGAGAGAUUGAACGAGGAAGAAGAAAGUCCAAAUAGAGUGGGUAGACGCUUUCGAGGAGUAGGCUCUAUAUUUAUCGCGGCAAUAAGGCGGCUCGAGGCCGAGUGUCGUCAAGCCAGAGGUCGGAGGGGAAGCGGCAGUAGUGCGGGAAACGUCGGAGUGCAGACCGGCGUCGUCGGGACAAUCGGUGGCCGUCGUUAUCGUUAACGACGCACCAUCCAAUACCGUCGUCACUCUCUCCUAUUUCUUUUCUCUCUCCUAUUUCCCUUUCCUUCCUGUUUCAGUUCCCUACCUUUUCCUCUCACUUUCCUCACCCCGCGCGUUUCUGUUUUACUUGAAUCGCACGGCCAUUCGACCGCUUAACCACCGAACCACCCAACUAUCCAACCAUCCAUGCUUCCCACCCACCCAACCACCCACCUAUCCAGCCACCACCCACCCGUCCUAUCGAGCUAACCAACCAUCUGACCGGAUAAAUCGUUCGUCAGAAAUCUAUACGAGAUGUAUAUAUUUAAAAGUCAUCCCCAAUAUUGAAAGAAUUCUCUUGCAUUCAGUGAAGCAGGUGACAUCAUAUCGAAACAAUACAUCGUAAAUUUCUUCAAAUGCUUUCAAUCCCUCUUCGUUUUUUGCUAGUUGCUAUUUUCUACAAGAUCAUUAAAAUCAGGCUCGAAUUUCGUAUUCCUUACAGAUUUACUUGCAAUUACUAAUAUAUAUAUUUCAAAAAGCAUACUUCUCAUCACCAUUGACUUACAUUUUAAUUGAAACGAGUACAAUUCUAAUAGUUCGAAUUAAAAUUGAACUGAAGCAUUUUCUUAUUCGUAUUUUUUUUUUUUUUUUUGCAAAAGUUUAUCAAGUUCUGCUACUAUUACGAAGCUAUCUCCGUUAAGUUAGCGCCGUGUCGCGUCGCCAAUGGCAUGUUGUUAUACCACGCCAUGGUGACUAUUUCUCUGACCAUUCCCCUGCCGAUUCACGGCACGAGGCCACGCCAGACUACAUCUAGCGUGACCUAGGGUGGCGUGGCACAGUAUCGUUUAUCGCAGAGACCCAAACUCUUGGAAGGGAUCUACGCGACGUCUCACGUAUCUAGCAUCGAAUGCGGCAGGAACGAGGCUAUUAUGCGAGUGCGCAUACAUAUCCACACCAAACGAUCGACGGUAUGCCUGCACGCGAGUCUCACUUACCACGUAUGAAUUUAUGCUUGGCUUCGUGAGAAGAAAGACAAAGACCGAACAGGGAGUGUGAAGAAAUGGAAAUAGUGGAAGAAAGUUGUCAAACUUAGAUUUUUUAUUUCUUUUUUAUUUUAUUUUUAUUUUAUGUUGAAAAUUAAACUAAUUAUUCGAUAUA